GAGUUUGAUCCUGGCUCAGAACGAACGCUGGCGGCAGGCUUAACACAUGCAAGUCGAACGCCCCGCAAGGGGAGUGGCAGACGGGUGAGUAACGCGUGGGAAUCUACCGUACCCUACGGAAUAACGCAUGGAAACGUGUGCUAAUACCGUAUACGCCCUACGGGGGAAAGAUUUAUCGGGGUAUGAUGAGCCCGCGUUGGAUUAGCUAGUUGGUGGGGUAAAGGCCUACCAAGGCGACGAUCCAUAGCUGGUCUGAGAGGAUGAUCAGCCACAUUGGGACUGAGACACGGCCCAAACUCCUACGGGAGGCAGCAGUGGGGAAUAUUGGACAAUGGGCGCAAGCCUGAUCCAGCCAUGCCGCGUGAGUGAUGAAGGUCUUAGGAUUGUAAAGCUCUUUCACCGAUGAAGAUAAUGACGGUAGUCGGAGAAGAAGCCCCGGCUAACUUCGUGCCAGCAGCCGCGGUAAUACGAAGGGGGCUAGCGUUGUUCGGAAUUACUGGGCGUAAAGCGCACGUAGGCGGAUAUUUAAGUCAGGGGUGAAAUCCCGCAGCUCAACUGCGGAACUGCCUUUGAUACUGGGUAUCUCGAGUAUGGAAGAGGUGAGUGGAAUUCCGAGUGUAGAGGUGAAAUUCGUAGAUAUUCGGAGGAACACCAGUGGCGAAGGCGGCUCACUGGUCCAUUACUGACGCUGAGGUGCGAAAGCGUGGGGA
rnacentral:rRNA from 1 species